AAGUCGUAACAAGGUUUCCGUAGGUGAACCUGCGGAAGGAUCAUUACCAAAUCCAAAUACCCAAACCCCAUGUGAACUUUGUUUAGUCUGUCUUUGGGAGAAAAACGAAGAUAGAUGGAAAUUUUUUUUUCCUUUUUAUUCCAAGUUUUUCUCCCAAUAGAGUCCGGCGCAACCUUUGGUUUGUGUCCAGAUUCGAAAAACCCCCCAUUUUUAAACCACUUGAUUUUUUCUGUUGGAAUUUUCUUUUUAUUAAUUUUAAAUAAAAGACAACUUUUAACGGUGGAUCUCUUGGCUCGUG
rnacentral:misc_RNA from 1 species